GACGAAUGCUGGCGGCGUGCUUAACACAUGCAAGUCGAACGGAAAGGCCUUUUCGGAGGUACUCGAGUGGCGAACGGGUGAGUAACACGUGGGUGAUCUGCCCUGCACUCUGGGAUAAGCCUGGGAAACUGGGUCUAAUACCGGAUAGGACUGCACUUUAGUGUGUGUGGUGGAAAGUUUUUUCGGUGUAGGAUGAGCCCGCGGCCUAUCAGCUUGUUGGUGGGGUAAUGGCCUACCAAGGCGGCGACGGGUAGCCGGACUGAGAGGUUGGUCGGCCACAUUGGGACUGAGAUACGGCCCAGACUCCUACGGGAGGCAGCAGUGGGGAAUAUUGCACAAUGGGCGCAAGCCUGAUGCAGCGACGCCGCGUGGGGGGUGACGGCCUUCGGGUUGUAAACUCCUUUCGCCAGGGACGAAGCGUUUUGUGACGGUACCUGGAGAAGAAGCACCGGCUAACUACGUGCCAGCAGCCGCGGUAAUACGUAGGGUGCAAGCGUUGUCCGGAAUUACUGGGCGUAAAGAGCUCGUAGGUGGUUUGUCACGUCGUCUGUGAAAUUCCACAGCUUAACUGUGGGCGUGCAGGCGAUACGGGCUGACUUGAGUACUGUAGGGGUAACUGGAAUUCCUGGUGUAGCGGUGAAAUGCGCAGAUAUCAGGAGGAACACCGAUGGCGAAGGCAGGUUACUGGGCAGUUACUGACGCUGAGGAGCGAAAGCAUGGGUAGCAAACAGG
rnacentral:rRNA from 1 species